CAGGAAUAUCUAAGUGUCCUUAGAGAGACAUUGGCCCAGGAUUUCUCACCUAAAUCCACAAAGGAAAGGAUGUUGUCAUGUUUCUACCAGAACUCUUGAAGGUUAGUUAAAUCUGUACCUGAGAACAUCUGGAGUCACAAGCAACCGGCAUUUGGGUCAUAACUCAAGACUUUGGCUUUGCAGGUUCAGGAAAUAAAGCGACAUUUGGAAAUUAAGCUUUUUGAGAUAAAAAUUUAAGGAUUUAUGGAGAAGCACUAGAGACUAAAGAAAUAAUCUAUACAUUUGGAAUACAAAAUACCAGGGAUUGAACAUGGGACCUUGUGGUUGUG